AAAUUGAAGAGUUUGAUCAUGGCUCAGAUUGAACGCUGGCGGCAGGCCUAACACAUGCAAGUCGAGCGGAAACGACAACAUUGAAUCUUCGGAGGAUUUGUUGGGCGUCGAGCGGCGGACGGGUGAGUAAUGCCUAGGAAAUUGCCUUGAUGUGGGGGAUAACCAUUGGAAACGAUGGCUAAUACCGCAUAAUGCCUACGGGCCAAAGAGGGGGAYCUUCGGRCCUCUCGCGUCAAGAUAUGCCUAGGUGGGAUUAGCUAGUUGGUGAGGUAAUGGCUCACCAAGGCGACGAUCCCUAGCUGGUCUGAGAGGAUGAUCAGCCACACUGGAACUGAGACACGGUCCAGACUCCUACGGGAGGCAGCAGUGGGGAAUAUUGCACAAUGGGCGAAAGCCUGAUGCAGCCAUGCCGCGUGUAUGAAGAAGGCCUUCGGGUUGUAAAGUACUUUCAGUUGUGAGGAAGGGUGUGUAGUUAAUAGCUGCRYAUCUUGACGUUAGCAACAGAAGAAGCACCGGCUAACUCCGUGCCAGCAGCCGCGGUAAUACGGAGGGUGCGAGCGUUAAUCGGAAUUACUGGGCGUAAAGCGCAUGCAGGUGGUUCAUUAAGUCAGAUGUGAAAGCCCGGGGCUCAACCUCGGAACUGCAUUUGAAACUGGUGAACUAGAGUGCUGUAGAGGGGGGUAGAAUUUCAGGUGUAGCGGUGAAAUGCGUAGAGAUCUGAAGGAAUACCAGUGGCGAAGGCGGCCCCCUGGACAGACA
rnacentral:rRNA from 1 species